UGCCAGCAGCCGCGGUAAUACGGAGGGUGCGAGCGUUAUCCGGAUUUAUUGGGUUUAAAGGGUACGUAGGCGGUGAGGUCAGUCAGUGGUGAAAGCCAGCAGCUUAACUGUUGAAUUGCCAUUGAUACUGCCACACUAGAGUUUAGUCGAGGUGGGUGGAAUUCCACAUGUAGUGGUGAAAUGCAUAGAUAUGUGGAGGAACACCGAUAACGAAGGUAACUCACUAGGCUAAUACUGACGCUGAGGUACGAAAGCGUGGGGAGCGAACAGGAUUAGAUA
rnacentral:rRNA from 1 species